GUGCUCACUUUGGCAGCACAUGUACUAAAAUUGAAAUGAUACAAAGAAGAUUAGCAUGGCCCCCGAGCAAGGAUGACACAAAUUUUUAUUUGUGUGUUCCAUUUUUUU
rnacentral:snRNA from 1 species